rnacentral:rRNA from 1 species
AGUAGGGAAUAUUGGACAAUGGGCGAAAGCCUGAUCCAGCAAUGCCGCGUGAGCGAUGAAGGCCUUAGGGUUGUAAAGCUCUUUUACCCGAGAUGAUAAUGACAGUAUCGGGAGAAUAAGCCCCGGCUAACUCCGUGCCAGCAGCCGCGGUAAUACGGAGGGGGCUAGCGUUGUUCGGAAUUACUGGGCGUAAAGCGCACGUAGGCGGCUAUUUAAGUCAGGGGUGAAAGCCCGGAGCUCAACUCCGGAACUGCCCUUGAGACUGGAUAGCUAGAAUCUUGGAGAGGCGGGUGGAAUUCCGAGUGUAGAGGUGAAAUUCGUAGAUAUUCGGAAGAACACCAGUGGCGAAGGCGGCCCGCUGGACAAGUAUUGACGCUGAGGUGCGAAAGCGUGGGGAGCAAA